UGGGGAAUAUUGGACAAUGGGCGCAAGCCUGAUCCAGCCAUGCCGCGUGAGUGACGAAGGCCUUAGGGUUGUAAAGCUCUUUUGGCGGGGACGAUAAUGACGGUACCCGCAGAAUAAGCCCCGGCUAACUUCGUGCCAGCAGCCGCGGUAAUACGAAGGGGGCUAGCGUUGUUCGGAAUUACUGGGCGUAAAGCGCACGUAGGCGGACUUUCAAGUCAGGGGUGAAAUCCCGGGGCUCAACCUCGGAACUGCCUCUGAUACUGUUGGUCUUGAAUCCGGUAGAGGUGGGUGGAAUUCCUAGUGUAGAGGUGAAAUUCGCAGAUAUUAGGAAGAACACCGGUGGCGAAGGCGGCCCACUGGACCGGUAUUGACGCUGAGGUGCGAAAGCGUGGGGAGCAAACAGGAUUAGAUACCCAAGUAGUCCCUGAGCGGGCUGGCAAGGCGCAU
rnacentral:rRNA from 1 species